rnacentral:rRNA from 1 species
CUGCGAAUGGCUCAUUAUAUAAGUUAUCGUCUAUUUGAUAGUACCUUACUACUUGGAUAACCGUGGUAAUUCUAGAGCUAAUACAUGCUAAAAAUCCCGACUUCGGAAGGGAUGUAUUUAUUAGAUACAAAACCAAUGCCCCCCGGGGCUCUCUGGUGAUUCAUGAUAACUCGUCGAAUCGCACGGCCUUGCGCCGGCGAUGGUUCAUUCAAAUUUCUUCCCUAUCAACUUUCGAUGUUUGGGUAGUGGCCAAACAUGGUGGCAACGGGUAACGGAGGGUUAGGGCUCGACCCCGGAGAAGGAGCCUGAGAAACGGCUACUACAUCCAAGGAAGGCAGCAGGCGCGCAAAUUACCCAAUCCCGAUACGGGGAGGUAGUGACAAUAAAUACUGAUACAGGGCUCUUUUGGGUCUUGUAAUUGGAAUGAGUACAAUUUAAAUCCCUUAACGAGGAACAAUUGGAGGGCAAGUCUGGUGCCAGCAGCCGCGGUAAUUCCAGCUCCAAUAGCGUAUAUUAAAGUUGUUGUGGUUAAAAAGCUCGUAGUUGAAUCUUGGGCCUGGCUGGCCGGUCCGCCUCACCGCGUGUACUGGUCCGGCCGGGUCUUUCACUCUGCGGAACCACAUGCCCUUCAGUGGGUGUGGCGGGGAAGCAGGACGUUUACUUUGAAAAAAUUAGAGUGCUCUAAGCAGGCCAAUGCUCGGAUACAUUAGCAUGGAAUAAUAAAAUAGGACGCGCGGUUCUAUUUUGUUGGUUUCUAGGACCGCCGUAAUGAUGAAUAGGGACAGUCGGGGGCAUCAGUAUUCAGUUGUCAGAGGUGAAAUUCUUGGAUCUACUGAAGACUAACUACUGCGAAAGCAUUUGCCAAGGAUGUUUUCAUUAAUCAGGAACGAAAGUUAGGGGAUCGAAGACGAUCAGAUACCGUCGUAGUCUUAAUCAUAAACUAUGCCGACUAGGGAUCGGACGAUGUUAUUUAGUUGACUCGUUCGGCACCUUACGAGAAAUCAAAGUGCUUGG